CACGUAGGCACCAAGCGUUGUCCGGAUUUAUUGGGCGUAAAGAGCUCGUAGGCGGUUCAGUAAGUCGGGUGUGAAAACUUUGGGCUUAACCCAAAGCGUGCAUCUGAUACUGCUGUGACUUGAGUUCGGUAGGGGAGUGGGGAAUUCCUAGUGUAGCGGUGAAAUGCGCAGAUAUUAGGAGGAACACCGGUGGCGAAGGCGCCACUCUGGGCCGAAACUGACGCUGAGGAGCGAUAGCAUGGGUAGCAAACAGG
rnacentral:rRNA from 1 species